UACGAAGGUGGCAAGCGUUGUUCGGAUUUACUGGGCGUACAGGGAGCGUAGGCGGUUGGAUAAGCCCUCCGUGAAAGCCCCGGGCUCAACCUGGGAAUUGCAUUUGAGACUGAAUAGCUAGGGUGCGGAAGAGGGAAGCGGAAUUUCCGGUGUAGCGGUGAAAUGCGUAGAUAUCGGAAGGAACACCAGUGGCGAAAGCGGCUUCCUGGUCCAGCACCGACGUUCAGGCACGAAAGCGUGGGGAGCAAACAGG
rnacentral:rRNA from 1 species